rnacentral:lncRNA from 1 species
GCGGGGCUUCCGGCGAGCCCUGGGGGCUGGACCCGCUCGCGGCCGAGUUUCGCCCCCGCCUCCGGAAAAGGCUUUCAAGUCUGGGGGCGGGACUCGGUGCUCCGGGCGACCGAUGGGGCAGUAGCAACGCUCGUGGGCUACCUGGCUGGGAGUUUCUCGGGGUCAUAUCAGGUUUGACCCUAACGAGACCUGUUCGGUACUCAGGUCUUAGGUUCCGUCCUAGACCCGCAUGAUGACGAGUCUUGCUGAGGCCGCUGUCUCCACACUGCCUCCCGCGAUGCCCCCAGGAGCGGAGGAAUGGCAAACUAUUCCUCCUAUUACACCUCAGACUCCUGUCAUUCCCCGGGCCAGAAAGGACUUGGAACCUGGGACCAAGCCUCUUAUUCUUCUGAGGUAUGCUUCUGCUGACCACUGACAUAUCUUCAAUAACCCAUAUCUUCAAGUUUCCUCUCUGCAAACGACAACUAACUCGAGAACACAUGCUGUUUGUGUGAGUGUGCCAACCAAGGAAUUUCACUCCCCUCCUUCUCCAAGGCUGCCUACCUCUCUAUAAAUAAUUGUUCUCUUCCCUCCCUUCAGACCUGGGAGUAGUUUGGUCACAUUAACGCACGCGCGCCUGCUCACACACUUUCGGGGGGCGGGGAUGUAGCAUGGGUGACCUUGUGAAGGUACUAGCCCACUGGGGAUAGGAUUAGCAAACCUGAAACCUCUGCAAAUAUCUGGCUUCCUCCGGCAUUCCUCCCGAGGCUUCUGGCUGUCUCGUGCCUACCUCACCCAGUACCCUUUAGGCUCGCUCCGACACACAAAGCCCCAUCCGCCUAUCUCCUCUUCGCAAACCCCGAGAACUUCAUUCCGCACGUUGAAACUCGUCGGUGGCGGUGGCGGGUAGGACUGGGCAUGCUCAGUGGCGGGGACAGGUCUGGGAGGCGAGGAAGCCGCAUU